GGCAGAGCAAGUGUAGUGGUUUGAGUGUUGGAUUAAUGCUCUAGAGACCAGGGUUUGAUUCCCCUCUCUGCCA